rnacentral:rRNA from 1 species
UACAGAGGGUGCGAGCGUUGUCCGGAAUCACUGGGCGUAAAGGGCGCGUCGGUGGCGACCCAAGUCCGUGGUGAAAGCUCGUCGCUCAACGACGAGUCGGCCACGGAGACUGGGUGGCUCGAGCACUGUAGGGGCAGAUGGAAUUCCGGGUGUAGCGGUGGAAUGCGUAGAGAUCCGGAAGAACACCGGUGGCGAAGGCGGUCUGCUGGGCAGUAGCUGACACUGAGGCGCGACAGCGUGGGGAGCAAACAGG